UACUACCGAAGCUACGGCAUCAGUAAUGAUGGGUAGGGGAGCUUCCCAUACGGGUUGAAGCAUGACCGUAAGGACAUGUGGACAGUAUGGGAGUGAGAAUGUUGGCAUGAGUAGCGAGAUGUGGGUGAGAAUCCCACAGGCCGUAAACCCAAGGUUUCCAGGGGAAGGUUCGUCCGCCCUGGGUUAGUCGGGACCUAAGCUGAGGCCGAAAGGCGUAGGGGAUGGACAACAGGUUGAUAUUCCUGUACUACCGAUAACCGUUUGAGAGAAGGGAUGACACAGUAGGAUAAGCUAAGCACACUGUUGGUUAUGUGUGCCCAAGCAUUGAGGCAGUCAAAGUAGGUAAAUCCGCUUUGAUAAUGCUGGGAUGUGAUGGGGAGCGAAAUUUAGUAGCGAAGUAGCUGAUUUCACACUGUCAAGAAAAGUCUCUAUCGAGGUUAAAGGUACCCGUACCGCAAACCGACACAGGUG
rnacentral:rRNA from 1 species